rfam:Triticum aestivum genome assembly, contig: Triticum_aestivum_CS42_TGACv1_scaffold_157992_2DL
UAUAUACUCCCUCCGUCCGAAAAUACUUGUCAUCAAAAUGGAUAAAAAUAGAUGUAUCUAGAACUAAAAUAUGUCUAGAUACAUCACCUUUUAUCCAUUUUGAUGACAAGUAUUUCCGGACGGAGGGAGUAUAAU